AGGUGUCUCCACGUAGCCCAUUAAAUUGAUUAAUGAUGCACAAUGGACACUAGCAUUUCAGAAAAAAAAAAU